ACUUUGCACUAAAAGUGAACACAGUCUUUCUCCACCUCUUCCAUACCUUCUCCACUUCUGCUACCCAACCAGGAUGAUUCUGGGGAAGUCAUCAUUUGUUAUUACAAGUAAUAUAACAAUUAUUACCAUUUGAAAUACAACAAUUUGGUGAAUAAGAGGUCCACCACUUUCUUGCCACUGUGAGAGAGUCCUUCAACUGUUGAGAGUGAAAGGGACUCUGCAUACAUUGGACAUAAGGCAAGAUAUCAAGCUGCAUAUAAACAUUCAAAAAGCAACAGAUAAAAAAAAAAAAAGGAGUUCCUAUUGUGGCUCAGAGGAAACAAAUCUGACUAGCAUCCAAGAGGAUGCCCGUUAAAUCCCCGGCCUCUCUCACUGUGUUAAAGAUCCGGUGUUGCCAUGAGUUGUGUGUAGGUCACAGACUCGGCUAGGAUCUGAUGUUGCUGUGGCUGUGGUGUAGGACAACAGCUACAGCUCCAGUUCGACCCCUAGCCUGGUAACCUCCAUAUACUUUGGGUAUGGCCCUAAAAAGACCAAAAAAAAAAAAAAAAAAAAAAAGAGCAACAGAUACAUGAUCCACUUUUUAGUAUAAAAACAUUUUUAAAAAUUCCACCACCCUGAGUAAGCAAAUAUUUUUGAAUGAGUAAAUUAAGAAAUAUAAUGUGAGAAUAUUGCAGGCAAAGCAGUGCUAUUUUAUGCUGCAGACACUCUUCUCAGUGAUUUCUGCCUUUCUCACCCAAUGGUACCAAACUAUAAACAGAGUAAAUAAUGUAUCUAAGCCUUAUUUUGCAAAGUCACUAUACAAAAUGGUGACAGUUUGCAAACAACAACCAGAAAUCCUCUCUGGGAAAAAAGAAGAUAAUUAAACCUCAACUUGGGAUCCUGGUUGUUCACUAUGUUUCCUAAUUUGUCUUGAAAACAACUCCCUUGAUAUGUGUUUCUCACAACCUGUUUCUCAUGUCAAAUGGUAGAGUGAGGAUUUCAGCAGUACAGUCAGAUGACAGGAGGAGUCUGAUGAGGGACCACAGAGCCUGGAGGACGGACAGCCUGUGCGGUGGCUGGAGAAAGGGUGUGGGGGAGGCCCCAGCAGGGGAGAUCCUGAAAGCACCAAAGUCACUUUCUUUGGCCAGCCCUGGUCAGGAUGACUGUGGUUGUUUUGCUACAGAAAGGAAACGAAGACUCUCUUUUCCUGAGAGUGUGUAACCUUGAUUCUCGCCAAUCCGUACCCUCCUUCUUAGCAGCCAUAAACUUCCUGUUUUAGCCUGAAUGUGAAAUUCCCAGGAGACUCACAAAAACAGACAUUUCCUUUGACAUAUGAGAUGAGCCUAUUUCAUUUCUUUGGGUGUUUAUGGGACUAGUUUUUUUUUUUCUGUAGGAAAAAAUAAAAGAGGAAAGGGAUUCUUUGUAAGCUAAAAGUCCUUUUACACAAUUGGGGAAGCCCUCCAAAAACCAGGAAUGAUUAGCCUUGUGUUUGGUUUUGUUUUAAUUGAUGUGGGAUGAGGAGGCAGGCACGAAGCUUUUCAUUCCUUGUGCAGCUAACAGAGGAAAGGAGCCCAGGUCAAAAGCAACAGGGAAAGUGAGACAGCAAAGGGGCCUUGGGCAUAUUCUGGGAGCCUCUGAAACCAAGAGAGUUCAUUUCUCAGCCCCCUUGCUGGAGGAUUCAUAUUAACCCUGAUUCUGUCCCACACAUUUCUCAUGCUACUUUUUAUAAACAAAAUUCAGCUUUGGUUUAACUGCUUAGUAAUUUGUUUUUUUCUAACUCUCCUGCUAUUAUUUCUUUCAGGUUGCCUAGCUAUUCAAGUUAAAAAAACAUGUGUCAUGUAAAUAGGCAUUUUCCUCAGCGUGUCUGAAACUGCAAUUAUACCUGCACCCCCCCCCAACAACUGUCCUCCGAGUUAUACGUGUUAACAUAUUUUCAAAAACCUCAGUCUGGAAGGUGAGAAGGUGAAAGGUUGGAUUGUGACAUUGUUGACAAGCUGUCAUCCUCUUCAGACUUGCAGACAAAAGGGAGCAACGUGAGCACAAUUUAGGACCUAGGUAACCACGAUUUUUUACAUAACCACCAAUAGACCUCACAAUAACAGAGAGAUCAAAGUGAAAAAGUUUAAAGGCAGUGACAUGGAAUGACACUGGAUAAAGAUGGCCAAGACAGGAAGUUAAAUAUUAAGUCCAGGAUACAAGAUAUCAACUUCUCUUCACAAGAAAACUAUCUAGCGUGUUCAGUUUGCCAAGGAAAACCUGUAAUUCAUUCAUCAGCCCUUUGUUUACCCAGAAGGUACAGAAUGGGGUCCUCGGCAGAGUAUGCACUGGCUGCUCUAAUUAAUUAGAUUUUUUUUUUCUGGGAUUUCUAGAUUCCUUCCAUCAAUCCAACCUUAUCUCCCACGAUCUCCCUGAAUUCAGCCAUAUUUUUUUUUCUCAUGUCCCUUCAACCCACCAGGAGCUUGUCCACUCUCCUCAGGGCCCAAAUUCCUCCCUUUGCUAAGAAGUUUCUCUUCCUCUGACUUCCAGGCACCAAUCUCCAAUCCUUAUCUGCACGCCCAAGCUAAGUAAGCUCCACCUCUUCCAAGAACACCUUCCAGACAGUAUUGUGUAUUGUAUUGUAAAGAAGUGCUUUUCGAGGUUUUUGUUUGUUUGUCUCCUUAAUAUUUUUUAAAGACCCAGGGAGGGAAAAAAAUAUUAUUUAUACUUCAAAUUCUGCAAAUUUCAGCACAUAGCAAGUAUUCAGUAAACAAUUAUUCAAGAGUUGACCAGUUAACUGAGAGUUAAGAGAAUGAGAAAGUUAGAGUUUGAGGAAGACACCCAUAUAGACUUUUGUUUAAAAUUAACUAUCAUAAUAGUUAAUCAUAACUAUCAUUUACACUGAUGUCUCCAUGUCUUCUGAGGCUAAGGCACUAGAGUUAUUCAUCUGUCUCAUGUGCCUUGGUCCUGUGUCUGCUACAGAGUAGACACUCAGAUACCCAGUAAAUGAGCCAGUUACCCCAUGCAGAAGGUAUUAAUGAGUGAACAUUGUAGGCUCACACCUUUGGGUCUCUAAGCAAUACCUACCCAAACUUCUCAGGGAAUUAUGUUCUGAGUUGAAAAUACUCCUGUGGGCCCCAGGAGGAACACAUCCUUGGACCAACAAAUCAUUAGCUUUGAGCCCUGAAGGAAGAGGCAGAUCUUCUACUAAGCAAGGGGACCUACAUGAGGCCCCCAGGGCAGUGGAAACACUUUAGAGUUUGCAAGUAUGAGAUGAGUCCAGUUCUCUGUUAAUUUGAUUCCUUUGGGGGGGGCCUUGAUUUGUGUCUUUUUUGGCUACCGUCCGGGGGGGGGCCUUGAUUUGUGUCUUUUUUGGCUACUGUCUGUUCACUUUGAAUUUCCCUUCCGCAUCUGUUUUCUCCUUCGUCUUCUCCACUUUCCCUUUUGAGCUUAUUAUCUUGAAACGCAACUGGACAGAGAGUAAGGUAGCUGGGAGACACCCUCAAGACUGAGAUGAUGUGUACAGUAGAGGUUUUCCCCAAUUACAUGACCUUGGGCUGAAACUGGGGCAUUUUCUAAUAGGAUAGAGUAAGCAACUUGAAGCAUUUCAUUGAACUUUAAUAUCUCCAAAAAACACUUGAGUAGUUACUGUGCUAUAAGUUCUCUGCUGUGCCCCAGGGGGACACAAAGGGGAAGAUACCUCAAUCUUUGGCCUGCAGGAAUGUAGUAAUAAGAGUACCUUUGGAGUUCCUGCUGUGGCUCAGCAGAAACAAACCAACUAGUAUCCAUGAGGUUGUGGGUUGGAUCCCUGGUCUCGCUCAGUGGGUUAAGGAUCUAUGGUGUAGGUCGAAGACACAGCUCGGAUCUAGAGUUGCUGUGGCUGUGGUGUAGGCCGGCAGCUACAGCUCUGAUUAGACUCCUAGCCUGGAACCUCCAUA
rnacentral:lncRNA from 1 species